rnacentral:rRNA from 1 species
UACGGAGGGGGCGAGCGUUAUUCGGAAUUAUUGGGCGUAAAGGGCGCGUAGGCGGUCCUAUAAGUCAAAGGUGAAAUCCCUCGGCUCAACUGAGGAACUGCCUUUGAAACUGUAGGACUUGAGUCCGGGAGAGGGUAGUGGAAUUCCCAAUGUAGCGGUGAAAUGCGUAGAUAUUGGGAGGAACACCAGUGGCGAAGGCGGCUACCUGGACCGGAACUGACGCUGAUGCGCGAAAGCGUGGGUAGCAAACAGG